AUUGAACGCUGGCGGCAGGCCUAACACAUGCAAGUCGAGCGGAGCGGCGGACGGGUGAGUAAUGCCUAGGAAUCUGCCUGGUAGUGGGGGAUAACGUCCGGAAACGGGCGCUAAUACCGCAUACUAUCAGAUUAGCCUAGGUCGGAUUAGCGAGUUGUUGGGGUAAAGGCCUACCAAGGCGACGAGCCGUAACUGGUUUGAGAGGAUGAUGAGUCACACUGGAACGGAGACACGGUCCAGGCUCCUACGGUAGGCAGCAGUGGGGAAUAUUGGACAAUGGGCGAAAGCCUUAUCCAGCUAUGCCGCGUGUGUGAUGAAGGUCUUCGGAUUGUAAAGCACUUUAAGUUGGGAGGCGUUACCAACAGAAUAAGCACCGGCUAACUUCGUGCCAGCAGCCGCGGUAAUUC
rnacentral:rRNA from 1 species